rnacentral:tRNA from 1 species
GGGCGGAUAGCUCAGCGGUAGAGCGACGCGUUUACACCGCGUUGGUCGCAGGUUCGAUCCCUGUUCCGCCUA